rnacentral:lncRNA from 1 species
AAGCUGGUACCAGGACUUCAGCUGGAACUGUCACAGCAUACUAUGUAAGUGCAAAAUCUCAUAUAAACAAGGUCAAAGUGACAGAAAACAAGACAUAAAACCAGUAACAACUCCAACUAUAACAAGGCUAAACCUGAAUGCUAAGAACACAGUACAAAAAUAACUAGUUUUUCUUCACUUGAACCAUUGCAGUUAUCAGCUUGCUGGAGAUAAGCAUGACUAGAUAGACUUUGAGUUCUUGGGGAAUUCAGCAGGACUGCCUUGCAUUGUCCACACCAACAUAUACACUCGAGGAGUUGGAAACAAAGAGCAGCAGUUCUACUUGUGGUUCGACCCAACUGCCGAUUUCCACAACUACACCAUACAUUGGAACCCAACUGAAAUUGUGUAAGUUACCCUGAUAUUAUAAAACUCCCUCCUGCUUUAUCAAAGCAUCAUCAUUACCCCUUGAUGUAUAUUACUAACAAUAAAACAAUCUACCAAAAAUUUCAAAACCUACAUAGAAAUUAAACAUUUCCUAUCUAAACUCUUACCAUACCUUCAGGUAGUACAUUGAUAAUCUGCCAAUAAUGAGUCUUCAGAAACUAUCAGAGCCAAGGUAUUGAUUACCCAAAUCAACAAGGGAUGAGGGUUUACUCCAGUUUGUGGAAUGCUGAUAACUGGGUAACUAGAGGUGGCCUUGUCAAGAUCGACUGGAAUAGUGCACCCUUCAUAGCCAGACUCUGUAACUUCCGGGCAAGGACUUGCAAGUGGGAUGGACCGUUUAGCACUGCUCAAUGUGCCUCCUCGUCCCCUGCCAACUGGUGGACUUCCCCCAAACACAAGCAGUAGAGUUUUGGUAAGCAGGGUCAGAUGAAGUGGGUUAGAGACAACUACAUGAUCUAUGACUAUUGCAAAGAUGCAAAGCGAUUCAAUGGACUGAUGCCUCCUGAAUGUAGCAAGGCACAAUACUAAGAAAAAUCAUCGAUGGCAGCAGCCAAACGGCAUCCUAAUUCAACAAUACCAACCCAAAAAAAAAAAAGAGCAAGCACCUUAUUUUCAAUUUUUCAGCAAGUCUUCUUCUUCUUUUAUCAUUUUUCUUUGUGAUCAAAUCAAUUUUUCUUCUCUUCAUUAUGUUUUUCUUUUUUGGAUUCUCCGAGAACAUCAAACAGAUUAAAUUCAUUCUUGUAUCCCACAAAUUGUAAUUCUUGCGGUCAAACAAAUGAACAAUACAGAGUUUUUGGAGAUAGAACUUUAAUGCUAAAGGCAAGCAUGUCGCAUCCAUUUAGAGCAAUCAGCAAAGACCUUUCAACUAGGUACAGGAAAAGCAAAAAAAAUAAACAGUAUCUUAGUAGUGGAACUUAAUUUUAUACAAGGAUCCUUCCAGUAAAUGGUGUACUAAAAUUUUGAGAAUCAAGCUGCUAUAAUAGCGUGCAGUUUUCCACAGCAAACCCAAAUUUGUAGCAAAUAUGACUUCAAUCAGAAAAUAUAUGACCUCUUUUGAAUUUGAAUAUGGUAUAACACGCUACGUUAUCAAUAUCAAAAUUUAGAACAGCAUACUACAUCUUGUUUCUUCUGCAUAACCUAUUAAAGAUAGGUUACUUAUAAGCAUCAUCUGGAUCUCUAUGCCUUGUUAAUGCUCCUGAUUUUGCUACUAUCAUAUGCACAUGAAAUGGCUUAGCCAGUUAGUCCUACUUUUUCUAAAUAGUUCACAUUUUGAAGGAUCCCCCUCACCGUCGAGACUGACUUAUAUUCCAAGUAAAGUUGUACCAUAAUAACCUAAUCCAGUGUAAGUUCAUCUCUGCUUUAACAUUCAAAGCUGCAACCUAAUGUAAGACUAUGUCAAUGAAAAUCAUUUGCCUCAAUUGUCAUUGGGUAAACUUAAGCUACAGUUUCAUUUCAGUAUCCAAGUGAAGUGUAUACCAUAGUUGUCCGAAGGUCAUAAUAUAGAAAAUGAACAAGGAUAUCGGGACUAUUACUGUUAAAAAAAUAUGACCAAAUUCAGUCUAAACAAAAUCUAGAACAAAUUAAAAAUAGAACUCAUUUGCAUCCAAAAAAGUGAUGCAAAACAUCUGAGCCAUGAUUGAUGCAAUGGGAGUUCGCGACCUUAAGUUCACUUAUUGUCCAUCAUAACAACAGAAUUCGAUCGUGAACCUCACAUAAGGAGCAACAGGUGUCACAUCAUAUAUAUCUGCAACUUAUAACUAAGCCUUUAAGAGGAGAAAUUUUUAACUCACAAGUUUUACAGCAUAACAAUGUAAGAAAAAUAGUUAGCUUGAGUAAGAGUCAGAUCAUCCAUAAUCAACAGAAGGGAAUCGAAAGGCAUUUAAAUAUCCAGAUCGAAUAAGAAAUUAACAGUUUAGUAACUCCAGUACUGCACCAACAACUAAAAAUAAAUGCAUCGUAAUCAUCUCACACCUAUAAUUCUUCAAAGUUCUCAUUUUUUCAGUGCAAUCUGAAACAAAGUAUAACACAUUCGGCCUAAAUCAGUAUAGGUUUAUUCCUGACAAAAUUUGAAUAUAUAAUUAAUACUUUUUCAUCUUCCAUUUAACGCCAUUCAGAUAGUAUCUAUAUCAUUGCUACUAACCACACAGAGGAUGCAAUAACACCAUAUAGAAUUGUUACUAGACCAUAGUAUAACCAUAAAAAGAAAGAAAGAACAAAAAGACCGUACUUUCGUUCUUUCUAAGUUUUACAAACAACCCAAUAGAUGUUGGGAAAAAUCACCUCCCAAAUACUGUUGUCUUUGAUAAAUUAGACUAAUAAAAUAUCAGUAUAUGCCAAACAGAUUAAACUUGCAGUUCCACUAAAAUAAUAACCACUGUAAGAAAAUAAAUAAGUAGAAAAUAUCAAACCACGAGACACCAAGAAUUUUACGUGGAAAACCCUCUAAAACUAAGAGGUAAAAAACCACGGGACGAUCUCCGAAAAAUCCACUAUAAUAAACUGAGAGAAUACAAAGAUAUCUUAAUUUGAGUACAAACUCAAAUUACUUCACCACAAUAACUAUGUGAUGGAACCCAAAUAAAACACUCUUUUAUUUGAACUACCUUUCUCUCUCUAUUUUCUAAAGCUUUACAGAAGCUUUUCUUCUCUCUUCUUUCUUACUCUCGGAUGGAGUAUGUAUUGAUGGGUGUCUUUUCUUCUUCCAUUUGCUGCCCCUUUUAUAGCAGAAUGGAGGAGGAUAGCAUAAUUAGUUUGGCAAGAUUUUCAACAAAGUAGGGAGCAAGAAAUCAAAGUUUGGCAAAAAGGAGAAAAGAAAUUCAAAAGUUGGCAGAAGUGGGUGAGGAGUACUUUUGACUAACAAUCUCCCCCCUCCGAACCCAUUAGAGGAGGUGAUCUCUGUGACCCUGUCACUUGGAGUCCAUCCCGACCAAUUCCUUGCAAAAUUCCAGCUUGUCACGAGUAACAACUUUUGUUAACAUGUCUGAGGGAUUCUCGUCAGUAUGAACUUUCUUCACUUUCAUCAAUUCCUUUUCCAUCACUUCUCGAAGCCAGUGAUAACGAACAUCAAUAUGUUUGGUCCGAUUAUGAUACGUGGCAUUCUUGGUCAAGUCAAUUGCACUCUGACUAUCACAAUAAACCACGUACUCAUCUUGUUUCAAACCCAACUCUUGGAGAAACCGUUUUAACCACAACAUCUCCUUGCCUGCUUCAGUAGCAGCGAUGUAUUCUGACUCAGUUGUAGACAAAGCAACACACUUUUGCAACUUGGACUGCCAUGAUACUGCUCCCCCUGCAAAAGUAAACAAAUACCCCGAAGUAGACUUCUUCUCUUCAGAACCUGCCAUGUCUGCAUCUGUAAAACCCUCCAAGACUGGACUCGUACUACCAAAAACCAAACAUAAACUGGAAGUAGCUUUCAAGUAUCUGAGAAUCCACUUAACUGCUUCCCAAUGUUCUCUGCCAGGAUUUGACAAAUACCUGCUCACAACGCCAACUGCAUGAGCAAUAUCUGGCCGCGUACAAACCAUUGCAUACAUAAGACUCCCUACAGCAGAGGAGUAGGGAACUGCUUCCAUAUCAUCUCUCCCUUCCUUGGUAGAAGGACACAUGCACUUUGUCAACUUAAUAUGACUAGCCAGUGGUGUGCUAACUGGUUUAGCAUCACUCAUGUUGAACCUUGCAAGCACCCGCUCAACAUACUUCUCUUGUGACAACCACAACCUCUUGGCUUUCCUGUCACGAACAAUCUUCAUACCCAAAAUCUGUUUAGCUGGACCCAAGUCCUUCAUAUCAAAGGACUUGAACAACUCACCCUUGAGCCUGCGAAUCAUAUCAGCAUCCUGCCCAACUAUCAACAUAUCAUCUACAUAUAACAACAGAAUAACGAAGUUACCAUCUGGGAACCUCUUGACAUACACACAAUGAUCUGCAAUUGUUCUACUAUAACCUUGAUCCACCAUAAAUGAAUCAAAUUUCAUGUACCACUGCCUUGGGGCUUGUUUCAGGCCGUACAAACUUUUCUUCAACUUGCAGACCAAGUGUUCUUUCCCUUUAACUUCAAAUCCCUCUGGCUGUUCCAUGUAGAUUUCUUCCUUCAAAUCACCAUGAAGAAAAGCAGUCUUAACAUCCAACUGCUCAAGCUCAAGAUCCAUACUAGCAACUAAUCCCAGCACUACUCGAAUAGAAGUCAUCUUUACGACUGGAGAAAAAAUCUCAUCGAAGUCAAUACCUUGCUUUUGAGCAAAACCCUUGACAACUAGUCGAGCCUUGUACUUUACUAGUUUAUCGCCAUCCUUCUUAAGCUUAAACACCCAUUUGUUCUUCAAUGUUUUCUUGCCUUUCGGAAGUGUAGUCAACUCAUAGGUGUGAUUCUUGUGCAAAGAAUCCAUCUCAUCUUGCAUAGCUCUCAGCCAAUUGCCCUUGUCCUUAUGAGUCUUGACUUCUUGAAAAUCCUCUGGCUCCCCCUCCUCAGCAACUAAAAGAUAUUCAGAUGAAGGAUAUCUGAUUGAUGGCACACGUUCUCUAGUGGAUCUUCUUAGCUGAGGUUCUUCAAUAUCAGGUUGCUCCCCCUGAUCAACACUCUCUGCAUCUGACCCAUCACCAUCGUGCAAGUCUGUAUCAGUCAUAUCUUCAUUCUGACCUCCUUCUCCAACUGUGGCAUUCUGUACUGGAGGAGGAACUUCGCUGAGGUCUGGAACUCUAUUAUCUCUGGGCUGUGUAGCAUUAUCAGAAUGCUCAUAAUUCUGGUGCUCAUGAAACACCACAUCUCUGCUCCUGAAUAAUUUCUUCUGUAUUGGAUCCCAUAACCGGUAUCCAAACUCUGCAUCUCCAUAGCCAACAAAUACACAUGGAGUAGAUUUGUCAUCAAGUUUCGAUCUUUGUUCCUUGGGGAUAUGUGCAAAAGCCUUGCACCCAAAUACCCUCAAAUAAGAAUAAGACAAAUCCUUACCACUCCAAAUCUUUUCUGGAAUCUGAAAAUCCAACGGUGCUGAUGGAGAUCUAUUAAUCAGGUAACAAGCAGUACGAACAGCUUCACCCCAGAAUGACUUAGAUAGUUUAGCCAUUCUCAACAUGCAUCGCACUCUCUCAAUAAUAGUGCGGUUCAUUCUCUCAGCCACACCAUUAUGCUGUGGGGUACCAGGAACAGUCUGCUCAUGCCGAAUGCCAUGCUUACUGCAAUAUUCAGCAAACUCCUUAGAAGUGUAUUCCCCUCCGUUGUCGCUACGAAGACACUUCAACGAUUUUCCAGUCUCCCUUUCAACCAUAGCAUGAAGACUCUGAAAAUGCUGGAAUACCUGGUCUUUUGUUCUCAACAAAAAUACCCACACCUUCUGCGAAGCAUCAUCAAUAAAGGUAACAAAGUACCUAUUUCCACCCAAAGACUCAACUCAAUGGGUCCACAUACAUCGGAAUAUAAUCUCUCUAAUAGUUCUGAUUUUCUUUUAGCUGAAGUACUAAAGGAGACUAUGUUGUUUCCCAAACAAACAAUAAUCACAAAGGCUUAAAACAGUACCUUUAGCAAAAGAAAUGAAUGACCUUUUUGCUAAUAACUGCAACCCUUUCUCACUCAUGUGGCCAAGCCUCUUAUGCAUCAAGUUUGGUGAAGAGUCAUCCUCAAUUGCAUUCAAUUCACUAGAACACAUCUUCACAUGAGUCUUGUACAACGAACAACAAGCAACUCCUCUUGCAAUCACCAUAGAGCCUUUGGUAAGCUUCCAUUUUCCACUGCCGAAGUGAUUCUCAUAGCCUUCUCUAUCCAAGGCCAUACCAGAAAUCAAGUUGAGACGCAAAUCUGGAACGUCUAACAUCCCUCAAGGUAACAGUGCAACCAACACCUGUCUGAAUGCAAACAUCACCAAUUCCAAUAAUCUUAGACUGAUCAGUAUUUCCCAUUCUCACGUACCCAAAGUCUCCAGCUUUGUAAGUUGUGAAAAAUUCUCUCUUAGGUGUAGCAUGAUACGAGGCACCAGUAUCAACCACCCAAUCAACUUUCUGAUCAUCAACGUGCAAGCAUUCUUCUUCCCCAAAUGAAAGAAUCACAACAUCUUCAGUGAUUGUGGCUGCAGUGUUCUUCUCCUCAACCUUUCCCUGCUCACCAUUUUUCUGCUUGUCUAACCAGAUUCUGCAAUUUCUCUUGUAAUGACCUUCCUUAUUAUAAUGGAAGCAUCUAUACGUUUCGCCUUGUCUGGUCUUUGACUUGCUCCUGUAAUUCUUGCUUUUGUUGCGACUUGUAUCUCCUUUGUGAGAUCCCCUAAAAUUGCUUCUACCCCUGUUCUCUGUGACAAGAGCAUGAGUCUCAAAAUUUACGUCUUGCUCCUUUCGCCUUGUCUCCUCAUUAUGAACACUAUCCUUGACCAUCUGCAUAGUCAUUUUUUCUCCUGGAGCUGAAUUGCUUAGAGACACCACCAAAGUCUCCUAGUUGUUUGGCAACGAACUGAGAAGCAAAAGAGCCUGAAUCUCAUCGUCAAGAUUCAACUUCAUGGUGGACAGCUGGUUCACUAAACCUUGGAACUCACUCAUAUGCUCCGACACACUGCUCCCGUCCUUGUACUUUAGAUUCACAAUUUUCCGAAUGACAAAAGUUUUAUUUUGUGCAUUCUUCUUCUCGUACAUAGACUCUAGUGUUGUCCAUAAANNNNNNNNNNNNNNNNNNNNNNNNNNNNNNNNNNNNNNNNNNNNNNNNNNNNNNNNNNNNNNNNNNNNNNNNNNNNNNNNNNNNNNNNNNNNNNNNNNNNNNNNNNNNACUGUAAGAAAAUAAAUAAGUAGAAAAUAUCAAACCACGAGACACCAAGAAUUUUACGUGGAAAACCCUCUAAAACUAAGAGGUAAAAAACCACGGGACGAUCUCCGAAAAAUCCACUAUAAUAAACUGAGAGAAUACAAAGAUAUCUUAAUUUGAGUACAAACUCAAAUUAUUUCACCACAAUAACUAUAUGAUGGAACCCAAAUAAAACACUCUUUUAUUUGAACUACCAUUCUCUCUCUAUUUUCUAAAGCUUUACAGAAGCUUUUCUUCUCUCUUCUUUCUUACUCUCGGAUGGAGUAUGUAUUGAUGGGUGUCUUUUCUUCUUCCAUUUGCUGCCCCUUUUAUAGCAGAAUGGAGGAGGAUAGCAUAAUUAGUUUGGCAAGAUUUUCAACAAAGUAGGGAGCAAGAAAUCAAAGUUUGGCAAAAAGGAGAAAAGAAAUUCAAAAAUUGGCAGAAGUGGGUGAGGAGUACUUUUGACUAACAAUAGAAAUUUCUGAAACACCGCAUUAUACAUAACAGAAGCUUCAUUCUUUUCCAAUUUCUCAGCAUCCAAACAGAGUUUGAUCCAACAAAUUACAAGGGUCAUUUCAAAAUUUCCCAAUGAAACACUGAUGAAAAAACAGAAAUUACAAAGCAACCAAGUAAUCAAUCACAUAAUACAAAUAUAAACACCAAGAACAAUAAGAAAUGUACCAAACAAAGCCAGCCAAACACGAGUUUCCUCACCCAAUAGCAACCCAAACAAGGCAGUAGCAGCAAACGUCGUCGCAUUGGUCACCGGAACAGCAACCGAUAUGGGGGUAUCACUUAAAAUAGCGAAAAAGGUAGCCGAGGCUGAUAAAUUCAACAGGAAAGGAA